rnacentral:rRNA from 1 species
AGCGGCGGACGGGUGAGUAACACGUGGGUAACCUGCCCAAGAGACUGGGAUAACACCUGGAAACAGAUGCUAAUACCGGAUAACAACACUAGACGCAUGUCUAGAGUUUGAAAGAUGGUUCUGCUAUCACUCUUGGAUGGACCUGCGGUGCAUUAGCUAGUUGGUAAGGUAACGGCUUACCAAGGCAAUGAUGCAUAGCCGAGUUGAGAGACUGAUCGGCCACAUUGGGACUGAGACACGGCCCAAACUCCUACGGGAGGCAGCAGUAGGGAAUCUUCCACAAUGGACGAAAGUCUGAUGGAGCAACGCCGCGUGAGUGAAGAAGGGUUUCGGCUCGUAGAGCUCUGUUGGUAGUGAAGAAAGAUAGAGGUAGUAACUGGCCUUUAUUUGACGGUAAUUACUUAGAAAGUCACGGCUAACUACGUGCCAGCAGCCGCGGUAAUACGUAGGUGGCAAGCGUUGUCCGGAUUUAUUGGGCGUAAAGCGAGUGCAGGCGGUUCAGUAAGUCUGAUGUGAAAGCCUUCGGCUCAACCGGAGAAUUGCAUCAGAAACUGUUGAACUUGAGUGCAGAAGAGGAGAGUGGAACUCCAUGUGUAGCGGUGGAAUGCGUAGAUAUAUGGAAGGACACCAGUGGCGAAGGCGGCUCUCUGGUCUGCAACUGACGCUGAGGCUCGAAAGCAUGGGUAGCGAACAGGAUUAGAUACCCUGGUAGUCCAUGCCGUAAACGAUGAGUGCUAAGUGU